rnacentral:rRNA from 1 species
ACUUAGUGGCAGACGGGUGAGUAACAUGUGGGUAUCUACCCUUUGGCCUGGAAUAACACGAGGAAACUUGUGCUAAUACCGGAUAAGUCUUUACGGAGAAAGCUUUAUGCACCAUUGGAUGAGCCCGCACUUGAUUAGUUUGUUGGUAGGGUAAUGGCCUACCAAGACUAUGAUCAAUAGCUGAUUUGAGAGGAUGAUCAGCCACAUUGGGACUGAGACACGGCCCAAACUCCUACGGGAGGCAGCAGUGGGGAAUCUUGCACAAUGGAGGAAACUCUGAUGCAGCGAUGCCGCGUGAGUGAAGAAGGCCUUUGGGUUGUAAAGCUCUUUCGUCGGGGAAGAAAAUGACUGUACCCGAAUAAGAAGGUCCGGCUAACUUCGUGCCAGCAGCCGCGGUAAUACGAAGGGACCUAGCGUAGUUCGGAAUUACUGGGCUUAAAGAGUUCGUAGGUGGUUGAAAAAGUUGGUGGUGAAAUCCCAGAGCUUAACUCUGGAACUGCCAUCAAAACUUUUCAGCUAGAGUAUGAUAGAGGAAAGCAGAAUUUCUAGUGUAGAGGUGAAAUUCG